AAUCCAUAGGUUAAUGAGGCGAACCGGGGGAACUGAAACAUCUAAGUACCCCGAGGAAAAGAAAUCAACCGAGAUUCCCCCAGUAGCGGCGAGCGAACGGGGAGGAGCCCAGAGCCUGAAUCAGCAUGUGUGUUAGUGGAAGCGUCUGGAAAGGCGCGCGAUACAGGGUGACAGCCCCGUACACAAAAGCGCAUGUGCUGUGAGCUCGAUGAGUAGGGCGGGACACGUGGUAUCCUGUCUGAAUAUGGGGGGACCAUCCUCCAAGGCUAAAUACUCCUGACUGACCGAUAGUGAACCAGUACCGUGAGGGAAAGGCGAAAAGAACCCCGGCGAGGGGAGUGAAAAAGAACCUGAAACCGUGUACGUACAAGCAGUGGGAGCACCCUUUGGGGUGUGACUGCGUACCUUUUGUAUAAUGGGUCAGCGACUUAUAUUCUGUAGCAAGGUUAACCGUAUAGGGGAGCCGUAGGGAAACCGAGUCUUAACCGGGCGUUAAGUUGCAGGGUAUAGACCCGAAACCCGGUGAUCUAGCCAUGGGCAGGUUGAAGGUUGGGUAACACUAACUGGAGGACCGAACCGACUAAUGUUGAAAAAUUAGCGGAUGACCUGUGGCUGGGGGUGAAAGGCCAAUCAAACCGGGAGAUAGCUGGUUCUCCCCGAAAGCUAUUUAGGUAGCGCCUCGUGAAUUCAUCUCCGGGGGUAGAGCACUGUUUCGGCUAGGGGGCCAUCCCGGCUUACCAACCCGAUGCAAACUGCGAAUACCGGAGAAUGUUAUCACGGGAGACACACGGCGGGUGCUAACGUCCGUCGUGAAGAGGGAAACAACCCAGACCGCCAGCUAAGGUCCCAAAGUCAUGGUUAAGUGGGAAACGAUGUGGGAAGGCCCAGACAGCCAGGAUGUUGGCUUAGAAGCAGCCAUCAUUUAAAGAAAGCGUAAUAGCUCACUGGUCGAGUCGGCCUGCGCGGAAGAUGUAACGGGGCUAAACCAUGCACCGAAGCUGCGGCAGCGACGCUGAUGCGUUGUUGGGUAGGGGAGCGUUCUGUAAGCCUGUGAAGGUGGCCUGUGAGGGUUGCUGGAGGUAUCAGAAGUGCGAAUGCUGACAUAAGUAACGAUAAAGCGGGUGAAAAGCCCGCUCGCCGGAAGACCAAGGGUUCCUGUCCAACGUUAAUCGGGGCAGGGUGAGUCGACCCCUAAGGCGAGGCCGAAAGGCGUAGUCGAUGGGAAACGGGUUAAUAUUCCCGUACUUGGUGUUACUGCGAAGGGGGGACGGAGAAGGCUAUGUUGGCCGGGCGACGGUUGUCCCGGUUUAAGCGUGUAGGUGUGUGUUCCAGGUAAAUCCGGUUCACUUUAACACUGAGGCGUGACGACGAGGCACUACGGUGCUGAAGCAACAAAUGCCCUGCUUCCAGGAAAAGCCUCUAAGCAUCAGGUAACAUCAAAUCGUACCCCAAACCGACACAGGUGGUCAGGUAGAGAAUACCAAGGCGCUUGAGAGAACUCGGGUGAAGGAACUAGGCAAAAUGGUGCCGUAACUUCGGGAGAAGGCACGCUGACACGUAGGUGAAGUGAUUUACUCAUGGAGCUGAAGUCAGUCGAAGAUACCAGCUGGCUGCAACUGUUUAUUAAAAACACAGCACUGUGCAAACACGAAAGUGGACGUAUACGGUGUGACGCCUGCCCGGUGCCGGAAGGUUAAUUGAUGGGGUCAGCGCAAGCGAAGCUCCUGAUCGAAGCCCCGGUAAACGGCGGCCGUAACUAUAACGGUCCUAAGGUAGCGAAAUUCCUUGUCGGGUAAGUUCCGACCUGCACGAAUGGCGUAAUGAUGGCCAGGCUGUCUCCACCCGAGACUCAGUGAAAUUGAACUCGCUGUGAAGAUGCAGUGUACCCGCGGCAAGACGGAAAGACCCCGUGAACCUUUACUAUAGCUUGACACUGAACAUUGAGCCUUGAUGUGUAGGAUAGGUGGGAGGCUUUGAAGUGUGGACGCCAGUCUGCAUGGAGCCGACCUUGAAAUACCACCCUUUAAUGUUUGAUGUUCUAACGUGGACCCGUUACCCGGGUUGCGGACAGUGUCUGGUGGGUAGUUUGACUGGGGCGGUCUCCUCCUAAAGAGUAACGGAGGAGCACGAAGGUUGGCUAAUCCUGGUCGGACAUCAGGAGGUUAGUGCAAUGGCAUAAGCCAGCUUGACUGCGAGCGUGACGGCGCGAGCAGGUGCGAAAGCAGGUCAUAGUGAUCCGGUGGUUCUGAAUGGAAGGGCCAUCGCUCAACGGAUAAAAGGUACUCCGGGGAUAACAGGCUGAUACCGCCCAAGAGUUCAUAUCGACGGCGGUGUUUGGCACCUCGAUGUCGGCUCAUCACAUCCUGGGGCUGAAGUAGGUCCCAAGGGUAUGGCUGUUCGCCAUUUAAAGUGGUACGCGAGCUGGGUUUAGAACGUCGUGAGACAGUUCGGUCCCUAUCUGCCGUGGGCGCUGGAGAACUGAGGGGGGCUGCUCCUAGUACGAGAGGACCGGAGUGGACGCAUCACUGGUGUUCGGGUUGUCAUGCCAAUGGCACUGCCCGGUAGCUAAAUGCGGAAGAGAUAAGUGCUGAAAGCAUCUAAGCACGAAACUUGCCCCGA
rnacentral:rRNA from 1 species